CUCUCCUGAAGAAAAAACGUUUAUUUUCCAGUAACUGAUUUUUUGGAAGUGUUUCACUUCAGAUUCAGCCACUCACCUUUCACCUGUGUCUUGACAGCCAAAUUUUAUUGGUGAAAUGAUUGAGAGGUGAUUGAGGCUACCUUGCCCUCCGUGUCCUUAGUUUCUACAGAAACCAGCUCUUCUAGGAUGUUGUUUCCAACAUGUUGCUUUUUUUAAAGGAAUCUAAUUGUGCCUCGAUUUCAUGAAAAUCCUAAGUGGAAUCUUUAUGAAUCUUCAUGAACAUCCUGAAGAACUGCAAUUACUACUAGGCUUGACGGGAAGACCCGAGUCAAGAAGUCACAGCAGAAGAGGUGCUUGCAGCUCUGCUGGUGAUUCCCCAGAGAGCCCCCUCAGCAAGGGGCUGAAAGGGCUGCCGAGGCCCUGGUGGAAGCUACUCACUUUUCUAGGCUAAAGGCAACGCAACAGAAUCUAUAGUCACCAACUACGUAACGACAGGAACAAUGACUGCUCGUUUAGUCUGCAGAAAAAGUUUUACUUUCUUUGUGUGUUAAUCUCAUGUUGCCAUGGAGCCUUGCUUUGAAAGGUAGUCACAAAGGUGCUUGAAUAAGUAGUGUAAACACAGAAGCAGUUCCUUGAAGUAUUUCCACAAAAUGGAAGGAUUAAAAACCUGAAAUUCAGGAGUAUCACGAGCCAUUCUAUGUGUUUUGAUUUGGAAAUAGUUGGUGAUACUGAGGGCAGAACUGGAAAACAGCACAUGCUCCCUAAGAUGCUCUCAGUCUAUCGAUACACUCAGUGAUUCCACGCUAGUUCCCAAAGAAGAGGUAAGAUGUUUUAAAAGUUUUUCUGUCCGUUUUAUGAAAUCAACAGACCUGGUAUAAUGCUGUACAGUAAAGGUAUUCAUUAAUAUGCAGAUAUUAAUACAGAGAGUCCAAAAAAGCAUUGUUUGAAAGGCAUGUUCUUACUCAAUUCCUUUUUCAUUUCAGAUUUUAGUGCAAUUUUACUCUAGAACAGUAAGCUGUGCCCCUGAGCCAAUUUUUUUGUUCAGACACAAGUGACAAUUCUGCGAUGUUAAAUAUGAAAUUUAACAUCAAUAAUAUAUUAUGCAGUUCAGUAACAGUUUACAGUAUUGUAGUUGAUACUGUAAAAUACAAAAGGUACUGUUCAUGGCUGUGUUUUUAGAUAUGGUGAGGAGGGAAGGAACAGUCCUCAUGGAGGAGGAAGG